rnacentral:rRNA from 1 species
AUACGGAGGGUGCAAGCGUUACUCGGAAUCACUGGGCGUAAAGCGCGCGCAGGCGGUUUUUUAAGUUGGAUGUGAAAUCCUAUAGCUUAACUAUAGAACUGCAUCCAAAACUAUUAGACUAGAGUCUGGGAGAGGUAAGUGGAAUUAGUUGUGUAGGGGUAAAAUCCGUAGAGAUAACUAGGAAUACCAAAAGCGAAGGCAACUUACUGGAACAGUACUGACGCUGAGGCGCGAAAGCGUGGGGAGCAAACAGGAUUAGAAACCCUAGUAGUCC